rnacentral:rRNA from 1 species
AGAUUGAACGCUGGCGGCGUGCUUAACACAUGCAAGUCGAGCGGUAACAGGCGUAGCAAUACGUGCUGACGAGCGGCGAACGGGUGAGUAAUGCUUUGGAAUCUACCUUUUAGUGGGGAAUAACCUGGGGAAACUCAGGCUAAUACCGCAUACGACCUACGGGUGAAAGCGGGGGAUCGCAAGACCUCGCGCUAAAUGAUGAGCCAAAGUCGGAUUAGCUAGUUGGUGAGGUAAAGGCUCACCAAGGCGACGAUCCGUAGCUGGUCUGAGAGGACGACCAGCCACACUGGAACUGAGACACGGUCCAGACUCCUACGGGAGCAGCAGUGGGGAAUAUUGGACAAUGGGGGCAACCCUGAUCCAGCGACGCCGCGUGUGUGAAGAAGGCCUAGGCGGGGUUAGU